CCUACGGGAGGCAGCAGUGAGGAAUAUUGGUCAAUGGCCGGAAGGCUGAACCAGCCAAGCCGCGUGAAGGACGAAGGUGCUAAGCAUUGUAAACUUCUUUUAUCAAGGGACAAAAUCAGGCUCGAGAGCCUGACCGAGGGUACUUGAAGAAAAAGCAUCGGCUAACUCCGUGCCAGCAGCCGCGGUAAUACGGAGGAUGCGAGCGUUAUCCGGAUUUAUUGGGUUUAAAGGGUGCGUAGGUGGGCUGUUAAGUCAGCCGUGAAAGCCCGGGGCUCAACCCCGGAGGAGCCGUUGAGACUGGCUGUCUUGAGAUGUCGAGAGGUAGGCGGAAUGCGCGGUGUAGCGGUGAAAUGCUUAGAUAUUGCGCAGAACUCCGAUUGCGAAGGCAGCAUAC
rnacentral:rRNA from 1 species